rnacentral:lncRNA from 1 species
UAUAUAUCAAUUUUAUAUAAAAACAAGUACAAUAAACGUAAAUUAAAGAAAAUUAGGUGAUAUAACUAUAAAAGCAAUAGUUUAAUAACUAACUAAAUCAUAUCUCUCAAACUUGAGUAAUAGAUCAGCCCUUCCAUGUAAAAAUAAAUUAAUCUCUCUCUACCAUUUCUGUACUAAACUAGUUUCCCUUUCUCUUUUAUUUCAUAAAUUAACCCUUAAAUCAAUCUGUAUCAACAAACAAAGGUUUCAUUUGAGGCUUGUUUAAGCGACUCCAGUCGAUAGGGUCUCUGACUGAUUAUUUCGAAAUCUGGUGAUAUGACUUGGGAUCGGAAUCCUAGAACUUCUUUAGUGAAAUUGGUUUUGUUUGUUCUUUUAUGAGUGUUAUUUUACCUUUUCUUUCACUUUCCAAGAAGCCGGCACU